GGUGGCUCAGUGGUAGAGUACUUGCCUUGCAUGCAUGAGGCCCUGGGUUCGAUUCCUCAAGCACCA
rnacentral:tRNA from 1 species